UCCAAAUACAGAUAAUGCUAUAUACCAAUGGCCAAGGCCUUCACACUUUAGUGAUUUAUUUAAAGAUUGUUUGGAAAAGAAAAAAAUAUUUUUAAAGUUCAGGAUAUCCCAUAUAAGUGAACAAUUGAGCGGAGAAUAAAUGGAUCAGUGGAAAUAGAAAUCUAUGAUAUCAUUACAAAUGAACGCCAAGAAUCUGUAAUUGAAAUUGAUGGGUUCCAUAGUGAAGUAGAUAUGAUGGCUAUUCCUGGAAUUUGUACUGUGUUACAUGAAAGAGGCCCUUAUUGUUCUUUGGUCACCCAAUUAGUGAUUAAUUAAACAAAUACCCAAAGAGUUUGUUCUGCCACUGGAAAUUUUACCUGUAUUGAAACCAUUCCAGUGACUAAUAAUGUAACCUGUACCUUAUUGCAAUACACCCCCUCCUAUGCUAUUAAUGUCAAUGCCUUUUGAAAGUACCUGAGAAUAGUUAAAUAACAGAUGUGAUAUAGUACUACACCAAAGAGAAAUGGUAUUGAAAAUAACU